rnacentral:rRNA from 1 species
UUCAUUAGCUUGCUUUUGAAGAUCAGCGGCGGACGGGUGAGUAACACGUGGGCAACCUGCCUGUAAGACUGGGAUAACUUCGGGAAACCGGAGCUAAUACCGGAUAAUCCUUUCCCUCACAUGAGGGAAAGCUGAAAGACGGUUUCGGCUGUCACUUACAGAUGGGCCCGCGGCGCAUUAGCUAGUUGGUGAGGUAAUGGCUCACCAAGGCGACGAUGCGUAGCCGACCUGAGAGGGUGAUCGGCCACACUGGGACUGAGACACGGCCCAGACUCCUACGGGAGGCAGCAGUAGGGAAUCUUCCGCAAUGGACGAAAGUCUGACGGAGCAACGCCGCGUGAGCGAUGAAGGCCUUCGGGUCGUAAAGCUCUGUUGUCAGGGAAGAACAAGUACCGGAGUAACUGCCGGUACCUUGACGGUACCUGACCAGAAAGCCACGGCUAACUACGUGCCAGCAGCCGCGGUAAUACGUAGGUGGCAAGCGUUGUCCGGAAUUAUUGGGCGUAAAGCGCGCGCAGGCGGUUCCUUAAGUCUGAUGUGAAAGCCCCCGGCUCAACCGGGGAGGGUCAUUGGAAACUGGGGAACUUGAGUGCAGAAGAGGAGAGCGGAAUUCCACGUGUAGCGGUGAAAUGCGUAGAGAUGUGGAGGAACACCAGUGGCGAAGGCGGCUCUCUGGUCUGUAACUGACGCUGAGGCGCG